CCUACGGGGGGCAGCAGUGAGGAAUAUUGGUCAAUGGGCGUAAGCCUGAACCAGCCAAGUCGCGUGAAGGAUGACGGUCCUACGGGUCGUAAACUUCUUUUAUAAGGGAAUAAAGUGUGUGACGUGUACGGUUUUGUAUGUACCUUAUGAAUAAGGAUCGGCUAACUCCGUGCCAGCAGCCGCGGUAAUACGGAGGAUCCGAGCGUUAUCCGGAUUUAUUGGGUUUAAAGGGUGCGUAGGCGGCCUGUUAAGUCAGCUGUGAAAGGUUGUGGCUCAACCAUAGAAUUGCAGUGGAAACUGGCGGGCUUGAGUAUGUGUGAGGCAGGCGGAAUGCGUGGUGUAGCGGUGAAAUGCUUAGAUAUCACGCAGAACCCCGAUUGCGAAGGCAGCUUGCUAAGCCGUGACUGACGCUGAUGCUCGAAAGCGUGGGGAUCAAACAGGAUUAGAUACCCUUGUAGUC
rnacentral:rRNA from 1 species